UUUGUGCAGGGUCUGCCGCCUCUCUGCCUUCUGAUUAUGCUGUGCACAGUCUGUUACGUUCUGCUGCCAAUCUGCACUCAAAUGGUUAUUAGUAUAGUUAUUAAACUAAUGUUUUAAUGGAGAAUGUGAUAACGAAUACAAAAUAAGCGAUAUAGUUUAUAUUCUAUAAUUUUAUAAUUUUAUAAUUUUAUAUUCGCUAUGAUUCGUACCAAAGGGAACGAAAAACGAAGAAGCAAGUUGUAAAUAGAAAGAAAAAAAUGGCACAUGAGUGGAAUUAGAUUAAGUAAGACGAUACUAAAACUAUAUGUAAUACAGAGAAAAUAAGACUGUGUUGACGCGAUAGCGUAAUAAGGCCAGUACGCUAAUUGGGUCUUUUAUACGUGUUAAGUUUAUUCGAAAGUAUUAGAACAAAAAAUUAUUGGACGGAGUGGUCGAUCUGAACCAUACGUAGUUCAUGAUCAACAUCUUCAUGUCCACGGUGGCUCGGCCGUUUGACGAGCACGCAUGUUCCACGAUUGUAGAGUUUUACGUGGUCGGAGCUGUGUAAGAUAUUUUUGUAUCUGGAAGUUUAACAAAUUUAAAAGUAUGUGUUGAUCGCAGAUCGAGUAUAAAUUGCCGGCGAGCAUGGAUGGUGCAGAUGGAGAAGCGGACUCUAGCGAAUAACGAGCAGCAGCAGGAGUAACAACAAGAAGAAGGAAAAGAGCGUUUAAUCGCUGAUAAUGAGAAAAUGUAUUUAUCUCGUUGGAUGCGUGCGAGCGUUGGAGAAAACGUGUGAAACUUGGGAAGGGCAGGAAGAAGUAGUUCGUGUGCAAAUAAGAUGUGUAAAUAAAAGCGUUUAGAAAUGUAAAACGUUUUGCGUAAAGCAGGUAGUGAUAAGAGCGUAAAAGUAUAGAGUGAAAAGACGAGGUGUGUAAUAAAGAUGUGUAAAUAAAAUAAACGCGUACCUAAUUUGGGUGUGUGAAAAAGUGGAGCGGGAAAGGUAAUAGCGAUGUUGAUUUAGCGUGGGAAUUUGUCAAAACAUGCGUUAGUUUUGUUAGAAAAUUGUAAAAUACGUAAAAAGAUUGUAGACGUUAGAAGCGCGAAAGUUGAAGGAGGAAAAGAAGGAAAAGAGAGUAUAAAAUGAUAUUAAGUAAUAUGUAAGGCAAUAUAAUUUUCUGGAUGGCAAAAGAAUGGAUUUGUUUGGAUUCUAGGAGACUAGAGAAUAAAUGAAGAUACAUUUAGGAGAUA